CCUACGGGGUGCUGCAGUGGGGAAUAUUGCACAAUGGGGGAAACCCUGAUGCAGCGACGCCGCGUGAGUGAAGAAGUAAUUCGUUAUGUAAAGCUCUAUCAGCAGGGAAGAAAAUGACGGUACCUGAGUAAGAAGCCCCGGCUAACUACGUGCCAGCAGCCGCGGUAAUACGUAGGGGGCAAGCGUUAUCCGGAUUUACUGGGUGUAAAGGGAGCGUAGACGGCAGUGCAAGUCUGGAGUGAAAGGCGGGGGCUCAACCCCCGGACUGCUCUGGAAACUGUACGGCUGGAGUGCAGGAGAGGUAAGUGGAAUUCCUAGUGUAGCGGUGAAAUGCGUAGAUAUUAGGAGGAACACCAGUGGCGAAGGCAGCUUACCAAGCUACUUCUGACGUUGAGGCACGAAAGCGUGGGGAGCAAACAGGAUUAGAUACCCGUGUAGUC
rnacentral:rRNA from 1 species